CUUCGGGGAAAGCAGCUGUAGAGAAAUGAGAAUACUGAACACCCUCCUAACGCGCGCACACCCUCGUCCGCACGCAUUCCGGCACCGGUCGCCUCGGAGCCAGCCCAACUUGGGGAUCCAAAGGCGGUUCUGCUUCCGACCGCCGAUGAGCAGGGCAGCGUCGUCCCCCACGAGCCUCCCUGGCCCCCUGCUCCUGAUCCCCUUUCAGGAAUUUACAAACAUUUUCCCCAGAUCAAUAUCCGUAUUGAUUAUUCAUUGUGAGUGAGUCGUGUGUCUUUGGUGAUCCAGCUUGCAGAGGUAGCAGCCAAAGGCUGCUGCAGGGGGAAAAAAAUAAAAUAAAAUAAAAUAACAGAAGGCGACAGGGACCCAGCUCUUGCUGGGUCUGCGGCUGUCGGCAACACCGAGAGGGAGAAGAAGAGAGAAGAGGACUUCAAAACGAAGGGUUGGGCCAGAGUGGAAGAGAAAGAGGGGCGCAACAGCAAGAAGAAGGAAGCCAGGGCCGGACGGUCUGGUCCUGGGGAUCUCGAUGGCUUGGAGGAAACCCCCAUGUUGGGUCUGCUGUGACGCACAGAUGGCCGUGGACUUCCUUGGCUCUGGGAGUGAAAAGUGACUCACAGUUUUGGUAUCUCCUACGUAAGAGCUUUGGGGGGAUUCCUUGGCUCGCUGACAGGCAAAGCAGAACUGCAGCAGCGGUGAGGUGCAGCGCACGGUGAUUCCUUCCACCUGCCUCGCCGAGGAGGAUGUGCCGUCCUUGGGUUUGGCUUGAACAGCUUGCUGCUCUCCGAUGGCACGCAGAGGGAGAAUAAUUAAAAAGGCCAGCAUCACUUACUAAGGAUUACUGGAAAAGACAGUGAAAUGAUGACAGGAAAACAUCUUGGACCAGAGCCAAAAAAAAAAAAAAAAAAAAAAAAAUAGAGGCAAAUCAAGUCUGUAGCUCGGAGAGAAAACACCCAUCGGUCCGGUGGGAGGCUCGGCAGGGAUUGCCUGGAGUUCCCCAGCUGAACAUGGAAUAUAGUGCAGACACACAAGAGGACUGGACCCAGGACCAUCAGAGUGUCCGGAGGAAGGAGCUACGGCAUGCCAGGGAAGCUGCCGCAAGGUUACAGAAAUGUCCUGGAGGAAGGAGGUUGAGGAAAUUCAGUUUUCCAUUGGCUGGGCUUUUGGCAAAAAUGCCAGGUGAUCAUCUUUUGCCAUUUGGACCGCCAUGUGGGAGCUAGUUUAGGAUUCCUCUUCUGUUGUCACCCAGCUGUGGCUUGGUGAGUCCAAAACCAACCAUGAAUAAGACUCUUUUAAUAUACUGUUCAAACACACAUGACAAAGUGAGGACCCUACGGAAUAAAAACUCUCCCUCUCAAGUGGGUAAGAAAAAUUAAAAAAAAAAAAAGAUAGAAAUCCCCAGAAGAGAGAAAUCCACCUGCAGUUUGGAAGAAAGUUAUUCCAUGGUGCCUGAAGUGACUUCAACAGAAAAAGACACUCCGGCAGAUGGCAAAGGGCAGCAAGAAGGCCCCUCUUCUCCCACGACGACAUCUCACAACCGUACCGGGCUUUCCAAUUUCCAAGGUGUUCUUCACACGUAUCGUCCUGUUUAAUUCUCACUAUGGCCAGUGAUGCUGGUGAGACAGAUAGGAUUUGGCUGAUUUUUACAGACGAGAGUACUCAGGCUCCAAGAGAGAACUUGCCUAAGGUUAAAAGCUAGAAAGAGACAGUCCUGGGUAAACCAGGUUUUAAUCUGAUUCCAUUUAAUUAUUCCCCAUACGUCUUCAUAAAAGAUGUCCUCUUUAGAACUCCUGACCCAGAGCUUCCUUGGCUCUCCCUCCUGCCCCCUCCCUUCCUCUCUAGGAGGUUUUCAUCAGGCAGCCUGUGUCAUUUGUGCAAUUUGCAAUUUUUACUCCCUGAAUCCUAUCAGCAGUUAAGAACCGCUGCUGGGUUAUGACUGGCAAUUGGAAAAAUCCCCUUCAUUUGCAUCUAUCUUCUUCCUUCCUUUAAGAGUCAAGUUUACCAAAAAGCUGCUCUGCCUUUACUUCUUUUCCCCAUUUGUCUCUCUACCCAAGGCAACCCAUUCCCACUCCCACCAGUGGCCCGUAAAAUGGUGCCUUCCUUCCCCGCAUCAUUGAAUUCUGGUGACGGCUCCCUCCUCUAUGAAACUUCCCCUCUGUUGAAUCAGGCACAAUUGUCUUCGUCCUUCAUUUCUGGUAACUUCCCCACAUGCUUCAUCUCAGAUCUUUAUCCUCUCCCCCCUCCCCCCACCUCCAUCCUUUAAAUACUAAUGUUCCUGGACAGGGUUUCUGCGGCUUCUGUUCUUUGCUUUUUGCAAUGUAAACCAUUGGCUUCAAUGGCCGUCUAAAAAUCAGCCAUCAGCUUACCAUCUCCAGCCCAAACCACUCUCCUGAACUCAACCACAAGUAGCAGGCGACCUGUUUUCUCCUCCUUGGGAUGGGUCCAUGGAACUUGUACUGUCUUCCUACUUCUCUCUUAGUUUAUUUCCUCAGUGGCUUUCCCAACAGCUUGACUGCUGUCUUCCUCCGCAGACAUGCCCGUCCCUCAAUUCAACUGGUCCGCAGAGAGUGCAAAUGUGGUGAUCUGUUGGCCUCUGUGAGGUCCUUCAGCAAGCUUUACCUCCCCAGGAGGCCUGCAAGGCUCCUCUGGAUCUGGGUCUUGCCUCUCUACCUGCCUUCUCUCUUGGGACUCUUCCAACUCUGGGCCCCAUGUAGUGGGAUGCCCAGAACUCCUUCAUGCCUCUAAGGUUUGAUAUGUGCAUCUUGCUUUCCAGAAUGGUCAAUUCUAUUUGCCUCAUUGCCUAAUUCCUCUCCACCUUUGGGACUGUUCCAGCAAGAAGCAUACCAUCAUCCCCCUUUAAGCCUCCAUUGAGUUAUGUGCUGCCCCCGGCUCCCUACCCCAGUGUCCCUCUUCCAUGGCUUUUAUCCCACUUUUACAAUAACUGAGAUGCUUAGAGGCAGACUGGUGCCUUUUAUCCUUUGUUCCCAGCACUAAGCGCAGGUCCUGACGUAAAUUGGAUGCUUAAUAAAUUAACGUUACUAUUUCUAUUCUGAGUAUCAUAAAUACUAUUUUUUCAGCUGUAAGAUCACAAGGUCUCCAAAACAAUCAGGGUGAAGAAAAUAUGACAACCAUUUCCCAUAGAGAAAACGGGAUUUCCUAUGGUGCAGUUCUCACCUACAGCAGUUUUUUGACUUCUGUCCGGAGAGAGACAAGCACGAGGGUGGUCCUUAGGUGUCUGCUGAUGCGGUAGAAACUUUAGAGUUAAUUAGAAGCUCUGGCUAAAGCUGGACUUCCUUUGCAGAGUUCCCGGGAGGAAACACAAAAUUAACAGUUCAAGGUUACUAUUAGAAAAAUGGCCUGUUUCCCUCAGGUUCUGCCUCAGGGAGCUCGUGCCUCUCCCUGCCAAGUCUAACGCGUUUCCACUUUCCUUUAGACCCGUACAUUCGCUACCUUGAGAUGGGUCAUGGUCACGAUGGUGGAGGCUCUUGAGGUCAGGGGCAGCUUCUCUGUGUAUCUUCCAGCAGCAGGAGAUUCUGGGAUCUCACUUCGUACCCGGUAAAUUGAACACUGAGAAAAAUCUGCUCGUCAUCGCACAAGGAACAGGUGUGCUUGUACCCAACUGAACUGAUGACCUAUGAAUGCUGAGAGAAGAUGUAACUUGAUCAGAAUAUCUGCCUUGUGAAAGAUCUGUCACUGUGUUUAAUCUGCCAAGAUGAUGAAAGAAAUAAAAAUAGGGCCUGAGAAAUGAAGUGGUUGCUCAAGUUGGAACCAUCAAACAGAAGCAGAUUUGACCCCAGACCAGAGGUGCCCAGAUUGCUUGCUGUGAUGAUUCUAGACAUGCUAAGCACCUGUCAAAAGUCCCUAGAGUCUCUCAAUCAGAAUCUUUGGAUAUUUCGGCACCUCCUUUUACUAGAAGGCCAUGGACACACGGGCAAAGAAAUGACCUGAUUUCAGAGACAAAGGUAGAAUCUGCUGGGGCCCCGAAACCUGCAGACUGGCAGUUGGGGAAGAGGUGCUAGGGUUCAGAUAUGAGGUGCUACCCUCAAAGCUCCCAUCAACACAGGACUGUUCAGCGGAGGAAUGAUUACAUUAUGGGUCCAUUCUAGUUUGAAUGGACCGACUGGGUGGUAACUGUGGGCAGGCGGGUCAAGACUGGAGGAGGUGGGUCAGCAAGGGUGUGCCAUGGAAGGGUUCGUUUUCCUGGUGGCCCCUGCAUCUCUCUCUGCUUCCUGAGCCUGCCAUGAGGUGAGCACUUUCCUCCUCUGGGCCCUUCCCCUACGAGGUGCUGCCUCUCCCUGGGCCCGGAGCAAUGAAGUCAGCCAUCUAUGGACUGAGACCUCGGAAGCCAGGAGUCCCUGUCAACUUCUCCUCCUCUAAGCUGUUCUUGUCAGGUAUCGUGGUCACAGCAAUGAAAAAGGUGACUAAACAGGAGGUAAGCUGGGGUCAACUCUGCCGCUGUCUCCUUCUCCCCAGGGUUCCUCCCCUCGCAGCCUCACUUGUUGAUGGACACGUUUUCAGAACUCUGCCAUCCCCAGACCCUGAGAUGUUUCAUGUGAACAUCAGACUCUUGGCAUAAGCCGAGGUGCCCGUGGGGUACUGGGUACUUUUGAGAGGGUAUUUUAGGAGAGGGAUAAGGAAAUUUGUGUCAUCACCUGGAAACUCUGGCCUGUGACCUCAUCAGCCCCUCUGGAAUUUCCCUGGUCACUUUUCUAUCCCAAAUGGACAGCAUCCACUUAGAAGGUUCUGGACAUUUGCGUAACAGUGGCUAUGGUGAUCUCUGCUAGCCCUGUGACUGGCAAUGGGGGAAGGUGCUUUGGGGUUCUAUUCAGGAGGGGUGUUCUGCUUUGCUGGCCAAAGCCUAAAGGGUCCUGGAAAGGAAAGCAAGAGUUCCCAGGCCACGAAUGAAAAUGGGAACAGCUGCAGGGUGUGGGUGUCAGGGACCACUUCGUCUUCCAGCAGGAGUUUCCCAAACUUGACCACUUUCUCAAUCGCUAACAGACACUGGAGGAGACGCAGCAAUUCCGCAGUCAAUUCUGAAAAGAAACCACUUACUCUACGGCAAUGGGACUGAUGUUAUUCAAGGGAAAGAUCUAGCUGCUCUACCAUUUAUCAAAUGGUGGCAGGACCCUGAUGCAAAUGUAACCUUUAGGCCUUAAAAGCAAAGAGAGUGCUUCCAGCCUGCACCCAGUAGGUGGUUCAGGCUGAGUUCUUUUCUGAGUUCCAGUACUUUUAUAAACCCAUCCUGCAAAUUUUGCAUUUUUUUGGUGUAUGUGUGUGGGGGUGCAGAACUGUCACAAAUUUAAAGAAUGACUAUAUAUUUUUACUACACGCAAGAUAACAUACAAGGUAACAGAUCCAAAAACAAGCAUCUUGAAAGGUAAGGUCACCCAGAGUUCUCACAAUCUUCUAUGAAGAAGUGAUGUGCAUCAACACAGCCCCAUUUCACUGUGCAAAGACAGACUCCAAGAGCUUAGGGGGCUUGGCCAUGAUUAUGUGGAAGCUGAGAGGUAGAUAGGAAAUUUGAACCCAGGUAUCUCCACUCCAGUUCUGUUACAUGUCUUCCAGGGCACCCCUGUGGCCAAGUGCGUGGAAGAGAAAAAGCAAAAACAUGACUUAUGGGUUGUUUAUAUUUCUAUGAGGACCUCAGGAGUAAGGUGUCAUGGAACAGGGGAGAAACGUCUAUGGCAGAAGUUAACUGGGAUUAGGGGGAGGAAAGAAGAAAGAAAAGGAGGUUCUCAUCCAUCUUUCUACUCCAUCAAGCGAGGGUUUUAUUCAAUUGCCAUUUUGACUCUUGUAAAAUAUCCAUUCCCUUUGUGACUCCAUCUUGGGUCCAGGACACAGGUUUCUUGGGGGUGGGGGAUGUCCUCUUGUAUAAACAGGGAGUAGAUGGCUUCCUCAUGACCACUCCCACCACCACCAGGCAGCUAGGUUUCCAUGGUUUGACUAGGUUUGGGAGAGAUGGAAUUUGGGCAGACAGGGUGGUCACUGGUGCUGAUUAACCAGGCUCAGAUCUGUAUUUAUUUGGUAUUCUGCCAUAAUUCACUAAAUCAUGGGGUACUUUUAUCUGUCAGGAGGUGGGCUCUUUGCUAUAGGCAUGUUUUUUUUUGUACCUCUGAGCCCUGACUAUCUGCCAUGAAAGCUUUGCCUCCUGCAACCCUUUGCUGCCAAAGCCCCCAUCAGUGUGCUUGGUCUGGGGUACCUUGAGGAGGAGAAGCUGGGCUGGACUCCUGGGAGCAAACUCUGUUCACCAGAAGGUCCUGAGAGACUCUGCACCACGGCUUCUAGGCAUCGUACAGCAAUAAGCAAAGCUCCAGUCUCUAUUGAUGGUUGGGAAGCCAAGAAGAAACAAGGAAUAGAAGUGCAUAGAUCUUUUUCACUCCAUAACAAGUGAGUGGAAGGAAGCCUACUGUUUUUCCGAGAUUGGAUUUGCCAAGAAGUCUGGUGGUCUGAGUUGCUCUUGGCCUAUGUUGGCUUUGCUGGAGCAUGGGCGUCCCUUUCGAAGGAGGGAAUUCUCUGGGCUGCAGAGCUCUGGGGGAGAAGCUUAAGGAUGUGGCACGAUCUCCCUGUCCAACUCUACGGAUGCAUGGACAACAGGACCGAAUGCAAGUACCCCGAGUACAGCAGGGGAGGCGGAGGGGGUGCGGUUGUCAGUUACUCAGCUAGAAGCACUUCCUGCCCGACCCACAGGAGACUGACAUUUCGAUAGAAUGGUUCUCAGCCCCCGGCACAGCGCACGGUGCAGGGCAUGGCUCUGAAUGGCUCUGGCAUCUGUUUUGUCGAGCCUCGUGCCCACAUACUGGGACUGCUUGUUUUCAUCCAAUAGCAAUUAGCACCGUGGUAAAUGCCUUGUGCUCUGUGCUAAUGCAGAAGAAUAAGCAUGUCGCACUCUGCCAAGAAUUACAGCUAAUCACAGAGGGCUCCGGGCCACACCUGCCCUUUCAUCAGACUUUUGUUUUAAAAUGAGGGGUUGGUGCAACCCGAAACACUGCAUUCUCCCCUUGCUUAGGGAUAACCAUGGAGACCCAGGGGAGGCCUGGACCGGGGCCUGGUUGCUCUCACUGAAUGCAAGCUUCCUGCCAAGGGGGGCAGCAAGCAGCGGGCAGCCCAAGCUGCUACUCAGUGGGGCACCUACGAACUGGGUGGGCCCAGGAACUUGCCACAGAUGUUCAGAGGCCCGGCUUAUCGCAGUGCCUACCACUGGGGACAAGAAGCCACGUGGACACAGGGAUGGGAAUAAAGACCUGGGCUCACCCCACUUUGGGGUUGCAAGUUCUUUGGUUAUUGUUUCCUCCUAGCCGCACCCUCUAGCCUGGCACCUGUUUGUACUCCAGGAAAGCACCCUUUGUCCUAAUUUGGUAGUUGUCAUUUAAGUACUUUAGGUUUUAUCAUUAUUAUUAUUGUUUUUAAUUUAAGUCUGGAUGAUUACAGUAUCAUUUACAUUCAGGAAAAUUCUCCCUUUUAAAGUGUCUGGUUGAAUGAUUUUUGACAAAUGUAAACAAUCACGUUGCCACCACCAUAAUCCAGGUGCAGAGUGGCUCUACUGUCUAAAACCUCCUCACGCCCUUUUCUUGUAGAUGCCCUUUCACUCGCCCAGCCCAGGUGUCAGUGGAUCUGAGUUUUGUCUCUAUAAUUCUGCUUUUCCCAGAAUGUCCUAUAGGUAGAAUCUGUAAGUACUUUUUGUUGGUGUGAGGGUCCCUUUCACUUAAAGAGAUCUACCCAUGGUGCCCCAAGUACCAGCAAUUGGUACCUUUUAAUGGAUAAGUAGUACUCCUUGGUAAGGACGUGCCAAGUUUAUUUCCCAGCAGAUGGACAUCUGGAUUGUUUCCACCUUUAGCUACUAGGAAUGCUGCUGCUCUGAGCAUUCAUGUACAAAUCUCUUGUGGGCAUAUAUUUUUAGUUCUCUUCCACUGAUUCCUAGCAGUGGGCCUGCUUGAUCUUUGUGCAUGUGUGAAGCUCUAUGAGAAAGAAACCGGCCAAAUACUUUCCAAAGAGGAUGCACCAUUUUGCAUUGCCAUCAGCAUAGGCAAGUCACAGUGGCUUAAAAAUCUUAGUUAUUCUAAGCAUCAUGCUAUAAUUAAUUUUAAAAAUCACUUUGGACCCUGGUAGUCCAGGUUCUCAUUGAAGAAAGUUUUUAUGCAACUUAUUUUUCUAGGAUUUGUCAAAUCCCACCUAUAUGCCUAGAAGUGUGGAGCCCAGAAAAGGCAAAACAGCAGCAAUCAGGGAGGUGGCUAGAGAAGCCCAACUGCUCUUGGUGAACUUUCCUCUACGCAGAGUUCAUCUCAGGGCAGGGUCUGAAUUUUGCAGCCCUCAUAGCGCAGGGUCAAAUCCACAGCAGGUCCUUCAAUAGACAUUCGAUGGUUCAUGGAGGGAAGGUGGAGGCUCGUACUCCACGAGGACACAGCUCAAGGGUGUGUGCGAGUGGUGAGAGAUGUUGAAACCUGAGGGCGGAUCCACCACCUUGAAACAGCUUCUGCCCAGUGGAGGGUAUUCAUUAUUUGCUGUAUAGAAGUUAGUGGUCCUGAUCAGGCUGCUUGUGAGAACCAGGUGGAGAGUUUAUAAAAUGGACAUGCCUAGGACCGGAGGAGGGUUUACCUUCAAACCAAUGAGACUCAAGCUUCAGGAUCUCAUUUGCAUGGUGCUCUUUGAGAGCUGGGAGUUAUAGAGUAUUCUAGAUGGAGAGGGGAGGAAGCCAGGUUGCAAUCAGGACAAUCCAGGAGAUCUCAGAAGUGAAAGGCCUGGGUUUUGGCAAUUUGUAAGGUUUCUUUCUUGAUUUAAAAAAAUUCAAAGCCUGGGAUUUUUUUUUUCUUUUUCUUUUUGGUUGGCAAUUUUGUUUUGUAACGUUUUUCAUUUUAAGAAGUUCUCCCCAAACCUGGACCCACUCCUGCUGCCCUUCACCCCAAAGGUUGUGAUUUAAUUUGCUUGGGGUAUGGCCCUGGCCUUGGCAUUUUGUAGAACUUGGCACUGAGUGAAAAUAAAUAAAACAAAAAGGGAAAGCUUA